AUUGAACGCUGGCGGCAUGCCUUACACAUGCAAGUCGAACGGCAGCGGGGGAGAAGCUUGCUUUUCCUGCCGGCGAGUGGCGAACGGGUGAGUAAUACAUCGGAACGUGCCCUGUAGUGGGGGAUAACUAGUCGAAAGAUUAGCUAAUACCGCAUACGACCUGAGGGUGAAAGUGGGGGACCGCAAGGCCUCAUGCUAUAGGAGCGGCCGAUGUCUGAUUAGCUAGUUGGUGGGGUAAAGGCCUACCAAUGCGACGAUCAGUAGCUGGUCUGAGAUGACGAUCAGCCACACUGGGACUGAGACACGGCCCAGACUCCUACGGGAGGCAGCAGUGGGGAAUUUUGGACAAUGGGCGAAAGCCUGAUCCAGCAAUGCCGCGUGUGUGAAGAAGGCCUUCGGGUUGUAAAGCACUUUUGUCCGGAAAGAAAUGGCUCUGGUUAAUACCUGGGGUCGAUGACGGUACCAGAAGAAUAAGGACCAGCUAAUUACGUGCCAGCCGCCGCCGUAA
rnacentral:rRNA from 1 species